CUCAGACUCUCGAGCGCCGGCCCCAGGAUGACAAUCACAUCCCAAGCGCGCCGAUCGCUUCCAACUUUGCUCUCCUUUUGCUAACUCUGGGCGGAGCGGCAAUCUCGACGUACAACUGGCCUUAGUCUUGGCUCGGGCCGUUCGGGAACACAAAGGGAAAGAUGCAGCGGGCUGCGCUCGGGAGAACGCUCUGCGCCCUCCUCGCCAGUGCGAAUAGCGAAGUUGGCGGACGUCUUGUUCUCCCGAGAGCUGGGCUGGGAGGUGGUUUUUCUCCCUCCACGCUCCACAGUGGCUUCUCCCUCCUGCCGGAGGUCUCUAGGUUGAGCUGGAGACCUGGAAUUCAGAUCCCAGGGAGAGUCGAUGGAUGCCGGCGCUCAGGGCACAGCGAGGCCGAGAUGACCGCCUUUCUGCGCCAGCAACUGCAGCAGAAUCACAGUUCUUAACGGAGCCCCUGACUGCCCGGUGGAAGGAGGUGAUUUAGAAGACAGUGAGUUGAUCUGGGGCAAAGUGAAGCAUCAGUAGCGCCUUCCAUCCCUUCACCUCACCUGGAUCUCUUCACUUCACUCCACGUCUGUCGUCUCCCAUGCAUGAAGCAACAUGGCCAAGUGAAGCUGCAACCAGUAAAGUGUAAGGUAUCAAGUAGUGACAAUGAUGGUGUCAAAUAAUUGCUAUUUUUAGACUCAGCUACUGUUCCCAUCGAGAUGCAAAGGACACAGAGCUCACGGGUGCUCCAGCAAUGCUGGUGUCAUGUUUGGAGGUAGCUGUCUAUGGACUACAGUAUUCUCCCAGUGCUAGUCUGCAGUCACUGCAAAGGUGAGGUGCUUCUGUGUCACUAGCUUUGUUGAAAAUGCUUAAUAUUGCAAGGCAUUCUUGAAUAUUUGCUACUGUAAUCAAAGAAUAGAAACAAUGAAAUAAAUUUUAUGUGUUAACUCUUUUUUUCUAAAAUAAAAUGUCUUCAUUGGAUUGAAUGAACAUUGAUUAUUAAAAAGAGCUCUAAAAAU
rnacentral:lncRNA from 1 species